CCUACGGGAGGCAGCAGUGGGGAAUAUUGCGCAAUGGGCGAAAGCCUGACGCAGCGACGCCGCGUGAGGGAUGAAGGUCUUCGGAUCGUAAACCUCUGUCAGCAGGGAAGAACGGUCACUGUGCUAAUCAGCAGUGAAUUGACGGUACCUGCAAAGGAAGCACCGGCUAACUCCGUGCCAGCAGCCGCGGUAAUACGGAGGGUGCGAGCGUUAAUCGGAAUUACUGGGCGUAAAGCGCUCGUAGACGGUAUGUCAAGUCAAGGGUGAAAUCCCCGCGCUCAACGUGGGAACUGCCUUUGAAACUGGCAAACUGGAGUGUGUGAGAGGAUAGUGGAAUUCCAGGUGUAGGAGUGAAAUGCGUAGAUAUCUGGAGGAACAUCAGUGGCGAAGGCGACUAUCUGGCACAUAACUGACGCUGAGGAGCGAAAGCGUGGGUAGCAAACAGGAUUAGAUACCCGGGUAGUC
rnacentral:rRNA from 1 species